rnacentral:rRNA from 1 species
UAACCUGCUAAAUAGCUAGGCUUAGCUUCAGCUAGGUCGUCAGCUUCUUAGAGGGACUAUCGGUGUUUAACCGAUGGAAGUUUGAGGCAAUAACAGGUCUGUGAUGCCCUUAGAUGUUCUGGGCCGCACGCGCGCUACACUGACCGAACCAGCGAGUUUAUCACCUUAGCCGGAAGGCUUGGGUAAUCUUGUGAAACUCGGUCGUGAUGGGGAUAGAGCAUUGCAAUUAUUGCUCUUCAACGAGGAAUACCUAGUAAGCGUGAGUCAUCAGCUCGCGUUGAAUACGUCCCUGCCCUUUGUACACACCGCCCGUCGCU